AAACAAACAUUUGGGAUGGGUUGUGCGGGAGGCCCAGCGCAACCCAUGACAUUGUGGCAGUGGCCUUCAUCUUAAUUGGUGUUGCUGCAGCAGCAAAAGCAACAUCAUUCGUCACCUCCCUCUCUCUUGUGUCUGUCAUCAUCGCCUGCGGAGUCUUCCCGUCGCUCGUAUCCAUAGUGGGUCUUGUGGCAAACGUCAUCAGAUGAGUUAACGACUAAACCCUUGAGAAAUUAACAACUGGAUCAUGGAGACUCUGCUGCUACAAGUAUGUCUUUAUGUCUGUCUAACUGUCUAUCUUUAUCUAUCUGUGUUUCUAUAUCUUUCUAUCAGUCUUUCAGUACCUGUAUGUCAGUCAGUC